rnacentral:rRNA from 1 species
UACGGAGGGUGCAAGCGUUAUCCGGAUUCACUGGGUUUAAAGGGUGCGUAGGCGGACAGGUAAGUCAGUGGUGAAAUCUCCGAGCUUAACUCGGAAACUGCCUUUGAUACUCUCUGUCUUGAAUAUGGUGGAGGUAAGCGGAAUAUGUCAUGUAGCGGUGAAAUGCAUAGAUAUGUCACAGAACACCAAUUGCGAAGGCAGCUUACUAUGGUUUUAUUGACACUGAGGCACGAAAGCGUGGGGAUCAAACAGG